rnacentral:rRNA from 1 species
AUGAAGACCUACAUCGCCAACCACUGGUGGGGUGUCGAAGACGGCCGUCAAAAAAUGCAUUGGUGUUCUUGGGCGUGGCUUUCUACCCCAAAGUUCCUCGGUGGAAUGGGCUUCCGCGACUUGGUACUUUUCAACCAGGCGAUGCUUGCGCGUCAGUGUUGGCGUCUCCUGACCGAACCCGACUCUUUGUGUGCGAGGGUCUUAAAGGGACGCUACUUCCCUGAUGGGGAUUUUUGGACCGCCACCAAGCCAAGAUCAUCUUCCUUCACCUGGCGAUUUUUGCUUUUUGGGCGU